AUAUGGCCAACCGGGUCAAAGUGUAGCAUCUUUUUUCAUCAGCUUAAUAUCUGAUACGGGCAGUAUUUGGACCUGAGAUAUUUAAACUCAUACUUGCAAGUUGGUGGAGGGCUUUAAAGCAUGCUUAACUUCCGCCGGGGGUCUGCGCGGUAUUGCACUAUCUUCGGGAUCGAUCCACAUAGG